CUUCACCGAACCCAGCCACAACGGAUGCCCCUCCGCACGGUCACGCCCGUACGUCGCCAGCAGCGCCUGCGCCUC
rnacentral:antisense_RNA from 3 species